UGGAUCCAGACUUUGAUCCUGGCUCAGGAUGAACGCUAGCUACAGGCUUAACACAUGCAAGUCGAGGGGAAACGACAUCGAAAGCUUGCUUUUGAUGGGCGUCGACCGGCGCACGGGUGAGUAACGCGUAUCCAACCUGCCCAUCACUUGGGGAUAACCUUGCGAAAGUAAGACUAAUACCCAAUGAUAUCUCUAGAAGACAUCUGAAAGAGAUUAAAGAUUUAUCGGUGAUGGAUGGGGAUGCGUCUGAUUAGCUUGUUGGCGGGGUAACGGCCCACCAAGGCGACGAUCAGUAGGGGUUCUGAGAGGAAGGUCCCCCACAUUGGAACUGAGACACGGUCCAAACUCCUACGGGAGGCAGCAGUGAGGAAUAUUGGUCAAUGGACGAGAGUCUGAACCAGCCAAGUAGCGUGCAGGAUGACGGCCCUAUGGGUUGUAAACUGCUUUUAUAAGGGAAUAAAGUGAGAGUCGUGACUCUUUUUGCAUGUACCUUAUGAAUAAGGACCGGCUAAUUCCGUGCCAGCAGCCGCGGUAAUACGGAAGGUCCGGGCGUUAUCCGGAUUUAUUGGGUUUAAAGGGAGCGUAGGCCGGAGAUUAAGCGUGUUGUGAAAUGUAGACGCUCAACGUCUGCACUGCAGCGCGAACUGGUUUCCUUGAGUACGCACAAAGUGGGCGGAAUUCGUGGUGUAGCGGUGAAAUGCUUAGAUAUCACGAAGAACUCCGAUUGCGAAGGCAGCUCACUGGAGCGCAACUGACGCUGAAGCUCGAAAGUGCGGGUAUCGAACAGGAUUAGAUACCCUGGUAGUCCGCACGGUAAACGAUGGAUGCCCGCUGUUGGUCUGAAUAGGUCAGCGGCCAAGCGAAAGCAUUAAGCAUCCCACCUGGGGAGUACGCCGGCAACGGUGCAACUCAAAGGAAUUGACGGA
rnacentral:rRNA from 1 species